rnacentral:rRNA from 1 species
GAUGAACGCUGGCGGCGUGCCUAAUACAUGCAAGUCGAGCGAACAGACGAGGAGCUUGCUCCUCUGACGUUAGCGGCGGACGAGUGAGUAACACGUGGAUAACCUACCUAUAAGACUGGGAUAACUUCGGGAAACCGGAGCUAAUACCGGAUAAUAUAUUGAACCGCAUGGUUCAAUAGUGAAAGACGGUUUUGCUGUCACUUAUAGAUGGAUCCGCGCCGCAUUAGCUAGUUGGUAAGGUAACGGCUUACCAAGGCGACGAUGCGUAGCCGACCUGAGAGGGGGGUCGGCCACCGUGGAAAGUAACACAGGUCCUGACUCCUUAGGGAGGGACCAGUUGGGAAUCUUCCGCAAUGGGCGGAACGCUGACGGAAGAAAGGCGCGUGAGUGACGAAGGUCUUCCGAUCGUAAAAAUCCGGUAAUAGGGAAGAACAAAUGUGUAAAGAACUAUGCCCGUCCUGACGGUAACUAAUCAAAAAGCCACGGCUAACUACGUG